UUGGGGCUUCAGUAUUUGUCACUUGGCCCUUAAAAGAAACUUCAGAAUUCUUGAUUCUUGGGAAAAUUCUUUAGUGUUUUAAUACACUUCCCCAAGCAAUCCUCAUGAGGUUACUAUGUUCAAAUAGCCUAUUGUAAUAUACAUCUCUUAGUUUUUAAUUCAUAACAUUCCAUACCAUGAUGUUUGUAAACUGUAUAACACAUAAAACAAUAAAGACACUAUUAGCAUAGGUACAGUAUCACAUGUUUUCGUGAAUAAUACUGAAAAUAGGCAAUGCUUGGAUUACAAAUUGUCAGUUGUACAGCAUCCUACAGCAUCCUAGCCCUAAGUGUUGCCAAUCAUCGUUUUGCACAUUAGUGUUUUUUUUCUUCAUUAAAACCCUUCAGCCGUGUGGAAUGCUUUUCUUCUUUGGACAUCCCGGGCGCGCGCUUGCUUCUCUGUCUUCAUUACGAGAACGCGCGUUUAGCCGUGCGCGCUGUCCGGCGCGCGCUGUGGAAGAGAGCGUCCUGACCUCAGCUUACACUUCGUAGGGAUUAAAUAAGUGAGAGUCGACACGGAUGAUAAAGAUGAACUUAAACGCAAGUUGGCCGCGUAUCAAGGCAGGUUUUGUCCGAGUUCCGAGUCGCAAGCGCCGGCAUUGACGCACCAAUGAACCCUGGAGAGAGGAUGAAGAACCGCAUUAAUGAGCUAUUUCUGUCCUGACUCUGCUAUAUGUUGGCAAGAAGGAGCUUUCUGAUGAAUAUCAGAAAUUCUUUAUAAUCAGUGACUGACAGACAUCAUCAGACUUGAGGUAUCAGGUGAGGAACAACAGGAAUGCUUCCUGACUCACAACUCCAUGGUCCCUGGCUAGAUCCAGAGCUCGAGUUACUCUGUCUGCAGAGAUUUGUAUGAUCUCCCAGUGUCUAGCUGGGUUCUCUCUUGGUUCUCCAGUUUCCUCACACAUCCCAAAUAACAGUACUCUACAUUGUCCCUAAGUUUGAAUGUGUGUGUGUGUGUGUGUGUGUGUGUGUGUGUGUGUGUGUGUGUGUGUGUGUGUGUGUGUGUGUGUGUGUGUGUGUGUGUGUGUAAAUAUGCAUGUGCAGGAUGCUUUUUCAGAGUAUGUUUCUUCCUCACAUCCAGUGUUCCCUGUAUUUACU